rnacentral:rRNA from 1 species
CAAGUCGAACGCGAAAGUCCCCUUCGGGGGACAAGUAGAGUGGCGUCCGGGUGAGUAACACGUAGGUAAUCUACCUUCGGGUGGGGAAUAACGCAGGGAAACUUGCGCUAAUACCGCAUAAUGCAGCGGCACCACAUGGUGACAGUUGUUAAAGCGGGGGAUUUUCGAACCUCGCGCCUGAAGAGGAGCCUGCGGCAGAUUAGCUAGUUGGUAAGGUAAUGGCUUACCAAGGCGACGAUCUGUAACCGGCCUGAGAGGGCGGUCGGUCACACUGACACUGACAUACGGGUCAGACUCCUACGGGAGGCAGCAGUCGGGAAUUUUGGGCAAUGGGCGAAAGCCUGACCCAGCAACGCCGCGUGAAGGAUGAAAUCCCUCGGGAUGUAAACUUCGCAAGAAUGGGAAGAAUGAGUAGGGGCUAAUACUCCCUAUGAUGACGGUACCAUUUGUAAGCUCCGGCUAACUCCGUGCCAGCAGCCGCGGUAAUACGGGGGGAGCAAGCGUUGUUCGGAUUUACUGGGCGUAAAGGGCGCGUAGGCGGCCAGCGCAAGUCAGUUGUGAAAUCUCCGGGCUUAACUCGGAACGGUCAACUGAUACUGCGCGGCUAGAGUGCGGAAGGGGCAACUGGAAUUCUCGGUGUAGCGGUGAAAUGCGUAGAUAUCGAGAGGAACACCUGCGGCGAAGGCGGGUUGCUGGGCCGACACUGACGCUGAUGCGCGAAAGCCAGGGGAGCGAACGGGAUUAGAUACCCCGGUAGUCCUGGCCUUAAACGAUGGAUGCUUGGUGUCUGGAGUUUUAUAGUCUCCGGGUGCCGCAGCUAACGCGUUAAGCAUCCCGCCUGGGGAGUACGGUCGCAAGACUGAAACUCAAAGGAAUUGACGGGGACCGCACAAGCGGUGGA